rnacentral:rRNA from 1 species
GUGCCAGCAGCCGCGGUAAUACGUAGGUGGCAAGCGUUGUCCGGAUUUAUUGGGUUUAAAGGGUGCGUAGGCGGCCUUGUAAGUCAGUGCUGAAAUAUCCCGGCUUAACCGGGAGGGUGGCAUUGAUACUGCAGGGCUUGAGUAAGGUUGAGGUUGGCGGAAUUGACGGUGUAGCGGUGAAAUGCUUAGAUAUCGUCAAGAACACCUAUUGCGAAGGCAGCUAACUAAGCUUUAACUGACGCUGAGGCACGAAAGUGUGGGGAUCAAACAGGAUUAGAUACCCUGGUAGUCCACACUGUAAACGUUGAUGACUCGCUGUGUGCGAUAUACAGUACGCGGCUUACGAAAGCGAUAAGUCAUCCACCUGGGGAGUACGCCGGCAACGGUGAAACUCAAAGGAAUUGACGGGA